rnacentral:tRNA from 1 species
CAAGUCCCGUGGUGAAUUUCACAUUGAAUUGCAAAUUCAAAGGAGCAGCUUCAAUUCUGCCGGGGCUU